rnacentral:rRNA from 1 species
AGUGAACGCUGGCGGUAGGCCUAACACAUGCAAGUCGAACGGCAGCACAGGAGAGCUUGCUCUCUGGGUGGCGAGUGGCGGACGGGUGAGGAAUACAUCGGAAUCUACUCUGUCGUGGGGGAUAACGUAGGGAAACUUACGCUAAUACCGUAUACGACCUACGGGUGAAAGCAGGGGACCUUCGGGCCUUGCGCGAUUGAAUGAGCCGAUGUCGGAUUAGCUAGUUGGCGGGGUAAAGGCCCACCAAGGCGACGAUCCGUAGCUGGUCUGAGAGGAUGAUCAGCCAACCUGGAACUGAGACACGGUCCAGACUCCUACGGGAGGCAGCAGUGGGGAAUAUUGGACAAUGGGCGCAAGCCUGAUCCAGCCAUACCGCGUGGGUGAAGAAGGCCUUCGGGUUGUAAAGCCCUUUUGUUGGGAAAGAAAUCCAGCUGGCUAAUACCCGGUUGGGAUGACGGUACCCAAAGAAUAAGCACCGGCUAACUUCGUGCCAGCCGCCGCGGUAA